rnacentral:rRNA from 1 species
GACGAACGCUGGCGGCGUGCUUAAUACAUGCAAGUUGAGCGGUGAAGAUUGGUGCUUGCACCAAUUUGGAGAGCAGCGCACGGGUGAGUAACGCGUGGAGACUCUGCCUUUGAUCGGGGGACAACAUUUGGAAACGAAUGAUAAUAGCGCAUAACAACUUUAAACAUAAGUUUUAAGUUUGAGAGUUGCAAUUGCAUCAGUCACAGAUGAUCUCGCGGCGUAUUAGAUAGUUGGUGGGGUAGUGGCUUACCAAGGCGAUGAUGGGGAGCCGGCAUGAGAGGGUGACCGGCCACAUUGGGACUGCGAUACGGCCCAGACUCCUGCGGGAGGCAGCAGUGGGGAAGAUUGCACAAUGGGCGGAAGCCUGAUGCAGAAAAGACGCGGGCGGGAUGACGGCCUUCGGGUUGUACACCGCUUUCGACUGUGACGAAGCGUGAGUGACGGUAAUGGGUAAAGAAGCACCGGCUAACUACGUG